GUGAACGUGUGUAGGGGAGCGGGGGUAAAGCAGAGGGUACAGUGUUGAUUGGGAGUGAACGUGCGGAAGAGUCGCGUAGUCGGCUAGUUAAGUUGAAGGUGAAAUCCCCGAGGUUAACUUGGGAAUUGCAUUCGAGACUGGUUAGGUGGAGUGGGGGAGAGGAUGGUAGAAUUCCAGGGGGAGCGGUGAAAUGCGUAGAGAUCUGGAGGAAUACCGAUGGCGAAGGCAGCCAUCUGGCCUAACACUGACGCUGAGGUGCGAAAGCAUGGGGAGCAAACAGGAUUAGAUACCCCGGUAGUC
rnacentral:rRNA from 1 species